AGAGUUUGAUCAUGGCUCAGGAUGAACGCUGGCGGCGUGCCUAACACAUGCAAGUCGAGCGAUUUACUUCGGUAAAGAGCGGCGGACGGUGAGUAACGCGUGGGUAACCUGCCCUGUACACACGGAUAACAUACCGAAAGGUAUGCUAAUACGAGAUAAUAUACUUUUAUCUCAUGGUAGAAGUAUCAAAAGCUCUGGCGGUACAGGAUGGACCCGCGUCUGAUUAGCUAGUUGGUAAGGUAACGGCUUACCAAGGCGACGAUCAGUAGCCGACCUGAGAGGGUGAUCGGCCACAUUGGAACUGAGACACGGUCCAAACUCCUACGGGAGGCAGCAGUGGGGAAUAUUGCACAAUGGGCGAAAGCCUGAUGCAGCAACGCCGCGCGAGCGAUGAAGGCCUUCGGGUCGUAAAGCUCUGUCCUCAAGGAAGAUAAUGACGGUACUUGAGGAGGAAGCCCCGGCUAACUACGUG
rnacentral:rRNA from 1 species